GGAGAUGUAGCUUAGCACUAGAGAGCUUGCUUAGCAUGCAAGAGGCCCUGGGUUUGAUACUCGGCAUGGCCA
rnacentral:tRNA from 1 species